rnacentral:rRNA from 1 species
GACGAACGCUGGCGGCGUGCUUAACACAUGCAAGUCGAACGGAAAGGCCCUGCUUUUGUUGGGUGCUCGAGUGGCGAACGGGUGAGUAACACGUGAGUAACCUGCCCUUGACUUUGGGAUAACUUCAGGAAACUGGGGCUAAUACCGGAUAGGAGCUCCUGCUGCAUGGUGUGGGUUGGAAAGUUUCGGCGGUUGGGGAUGGACUCGCGGCUUAUCAGCUUGUUGGUGGGGUAGUGGCUUACCAAGGCUUUGACGGGUAGCCGGCCUGAGAGGGUGACCGGCCACAUUGGGACUGAGAGAGGGACCAGACGGGAACGGGAGGCAGCAGGGGGAAACAUUGCACAAUGGGCGGAAGCCUGAUGCAGCAACGCCGGGUGCGGAAUGACGGCCUUCGGGUUGUAAACCGAUUUCGACUGUGACGAAGCGUGAGUGACGGUAAUGGGUAAAGAAGCACCGGCUAACUACGUG